rnacentral:rRNA from 1 species
UNUGAAGUUAAAGGCUGUGGCUCANCCAUAGUUCGCUUUGGAAACUGUCAAACUUGAGUGCAGAAGGGGAGAGUGGAAUUCCAUGUGUAGCGGUGAAAUGCGUAGAUAUAUGGAGGAACACCGGUGGCGAAAGCGGCUCUCUGGUCUGUAACUGACGCUGAGGCUCGAAAGCGUGGGGAGCGAACAGGAUUAGAUACCCUGGUAGUCCACGCCGUAAACGAUGAGUGCUAGGUGUUGGAUCCUUUCCGGGAUUCAGUGCCGCAGCUAACGCAUUAAGCACUCCGCCUGGGGAGUACGACCGCAAGGUUGAAACUCAAAGGAAUUGACGGGGGCCCGCACAAGCGGUGGAGCAUGAGAUUUAAUUCGAAGCAACGCGAAGAACCUUACCAGGUCUUGACAUCCCGAUGCUAUUUCUAGGGAUAGGAAGUUACUUCGGUACAUCGGUGACAGGUGGUGCAUGGUUGUCGUCAGCUCGUGUCGUGAGAUGUUGGGUUAAGUCCCGCAACGAGCGCAACCCCUAUUGUUAGUUGCCAUCAUUCAGUUGGGCACUCUAGCAAGACUGCCGGUAAUAAACCGGAGGAAGGUGGGGAUGACGUCAAAUCAUCAUGCCCCUUAUGACCUGGGCUACACACGUGCUACAAUGGUUGGUACAACGAGUUGCGAGUCGGUGACGGCGAGCUAAUCUCUUAAAGCCAAUCUCAGUUCGGAUUGUAGGCUGCAACUCGCCUACAUGAAGUCGGAAUCGCUAGUAAUCGCGGAUCAGCACGCCGCGGUGAAUACGUUCCCGGGCCUUGUACACACCGCCC